rnacentral:rRNA from 1 species
AUUGAACGCUGGCGGCAGGCCUAACACAUGCAAGUCGAACGAGUGGCGGACGUGUGAGUCAGGUCUUAGCAACUGAACGAUGGAUGGAGAUAACUACUGUAAACGGUAGCUAAUACCGCAUACCAUCGGCUGUGCCCCGAUGGGAUUCGCUAGGAGGUGGGGUAACGGCUCACCUAGACGACGAUCCCUAUCUGGUCUGAGGGGAUGACCAGCCAAACGGGAACUGAGACACGGUCCAGACUCCUACGGGAGGCAGCAGUGGGGAAUAUUGCACAAUGUGCGCAAGCCUGAUGAAGCCAUGCCGCGUGUAUGAAGAAGGUCUUCGGGGUGUAAAGUACUUUAAGCGAGGAGGCGUUACUCGCAGAAGAAGCACCGGCUAACUCCGUGCCAGCCGCCGCGGUAAUAC